UUACAACCUGCACCGGAGGGGACAGCCACAGUUUAUAACAAAGGCGACCACUUCCUGAGCGUUCACUGUACACCGGGCACUGUUCUCAGUGCUUCUGUGUAUUGAUUACUUAAUCUUUUCAACAAACCCAGGAGGUAGAGUCUAUUAUCGCCUCCAUCUUAUAGCAGCCUAGGAGGUAUAAACAAUCCACCUACAGUCACACAGCUUGUAGAGACCAGAGCCUGUGUCUUGAACAGCUAUGCUGUGUUUGGUGUCCAUCACUGAAGGGGAAAUUGGGACUCAGAGACGCUCCUGUGGCCGGUGAGUGACGGGGCCUGCUUUCGGCAGUGACCGGCUGGCUCCCUGUGCCUCAGCCCCGUCCCACCAGCCAGAGGCCCCUGCGCCCCGGCCCAGCUCCCUGGGCCUCACAACGCGAAGGGCUCCUCCCAGGGAUCUGACAAAAGCGACUGUGUCUCACGACUGGCCGCUGUCCUCCGCCGGCUGAAGCGGGCCCUGUGUCCCGUGACAGCCUGUGCGGUCUGCGCUGAAUUCACGCGUCUGUGGGCAGCUGACCGGCCGGAGAGGGAACGAGGCAUUGGGGCUGCACACUGCCAUCUCACUAGCUCAGGCCUUGGACAAGUUUCCCUUUCUGAGCUCCUGUUUUCUCAUCUGUACAACAACAGGCAUCCUGAUGCUAACUCCUGUGAGACUCAGCGAAGAUCACAUACAUGCAAAACGAAGGGACAGUGAGGGCGGGUGGGCCCGUCCACGCCAGGCAGGGCUCCGGCCUCUCAGAACAAACGGGUGACAUGGUUCUGACCCACAACACUGAGGCUUGGAGGGCUGCUUGCUGGCCUAGACUUCCUGUGUGCUCGGGAAGGCCCAUCUUACAAAGUCCUCAAGUAAAGAUGCUCUUCUCCUCUGAUCCUCUCAAGCCAGAACAGUCUGUCCCCACACGUGCGCGGCAGCCCGCAGUCCCGCGGCCGUUACCUUGUAGGGCACUUCUCCAAGCCUCACCACUCGGGCCUGUUUCAGCCACGUGUCCCUGGAGUGCAGGGUGUGCACGCAGUCCCUAAGGAGCCAACGGGAGACAAGACAGGGUUCACACCCACUGAAGCACCCCGCGCCCGGUAGCCCGCAGGGCCCGGCUGCCUCCUCUGGCCCCCCAGGAGAAGGGGGAGCUCGGCCCUGGAGCGUCUCCCGGGGGACCAGGGGCCCGCGUCAGGCCCACAGUUAACAGGCACCUGCUGUCUCGCGGGGGGAUGCAUCCACUCACAAAUCCCAAACUAAAUGGCUUCCCGUGGUGCCUUCCCCCUCCUCUCGCCGGAAGGGCCCAGCAGAGCAGGUGCAAGCCCUCACCCAGGGUCUGGCCCACUCCUGAAUACCAGAGAGGGGGAGGGAGGGACGAGUGUCCAGAGAAGGGGUGGGGAAGCCAGAAGACGACGACACGGAGACUACAGUAAGCUGACAAAGUACACAGGUUAGGAUAAACGUACACAGAACAGUCGGUUCCACCUGGCUCUGGCUUCGCUCUCCUUCCAGAGCUUAGAGCCACACCCCGCCUCCCAUUCCAGCUGCUUCCUGCUGAGCCUUCAGCAAGGCCCACCCUUCAGUGGGGCUCCAAGGAGCAAGGGCACUAAGCUCCCUCUGGUGUGGACAUCCGGCCCUUCGCCUGCCCCCGGGCUGAGGCUGACGUCCAGCACAGCACACCGGACAGGGUCACACCUCCUCUGUGCCCCUUCCUAGCGGGAUGACCCCCGAUCCAUCAGGGACAGUGAGCACUGCCUCCCCGCCUCACAAGCUGCUGGGGGGACCAGAGCCCAGGGCUCCACACGCGUGCCCACCGCAGGGGCCCAUCUCUGCCUGAAGGAGUGACUGUCACGGUUGUGGUCUUCCAGUAGGAGCGGAGAAGGGGCAAGCAGGACACUACUCAAGAAACAGAAAACAAGAACUGGAGAGAAUGUACAGACACUGGGAACUUCAUGCUCUGCCGGGGGAUGUAAAAUGAUGCAGCCACUGCAGAAAACAGUGCGGAGGUUCUUCACAAAGUUAAACAGAAUCACCAUGUGAUGCAGAAAUCCUACUUCUGGGCGUAUACAUCCAAAAGGACUGAAAGCAGGGUCUCAAGAGAUGUCUGUGCACCCAUGUUCAUAGCAGCACUAAACACAACCAAAAGGGGAAGCAACACAAGUGUCCAUCAAUGGAUGCCAGUCACAAAAGGACAAAUGCUGUAGGAUCCACUUCUAUGAGGCAGGGACCCCCUUCCCACCAGAUGUCCCCUGCACGCAGGACACCUGUGCUGUAUCCUCCAUUGAGGUCGCCAGGCCCUGGAUGCUGUCGGCAGCUGGGCCCCUGACCAGCCAGGGGGCAGAAAGCUCCCACAGUGACCCUAACCGGAGGGUCGGGGAUGCCUCGCCUCGGGGCUGAGCUGCAGGAAGUAGCUCUCAGGCAGAGGAGUUGAGCCACCUACUCCUGCCGCAGCCUCUCCGCCGUGCCCCUCGCCCACAACGGCAUGCGCACACUGUGAAGCUCCAACCCCAGCCCGGCGAAGGCUGCUAAUCCCGGGCCGCCGGGCGUCUCCUCACCUGGAGUAGACAGCCUCUCCGCGGCAGU